rnacentral:rRNA from 1 species
GGCUGCCUACGGGACGCAGCAGUGGGGAAUCUUCCACAAUGGGCGAAAGCCUGAUGGAGCAACGCCGCGUGGGUGAAGAAGGUCUUCGGAUCGUAAAACCCUGUUGUUAGAGAAGAAAGUGCGUGAGAGUAACUGUUCACGUUUCGACGGUAUCUAACCAGAAAGCCACGGCUAACUACGUGCCAGCAGCCGCGGUAAUACGUAGGUGGCAAGCGUUAUCCGGAUUUAUUUGGCGUAAAGGGAACGCAGGCGGUCUUUUAUGUCUGAUGUGAAAGCCUUCGGCUUAACCGGAGUAGUGCAUUGGA